GAUGAACGCUGGCGGCGUGCCUAAUACAUGCAAGUCGAGCGAACGGACGAGAAGCUUGCUUCCCUGAUGUUAGCGGCGGACGGGUGAGUAACACGUGGAUAACCUACCUAUAAGACUGGGAUAACUUCGGGAAACCGGAGCUAAUACCGGAUAAUAUUUUGAGCCGCAUGGUUCAAAAGUGAAAGACGGUCUUGCUGUCACUUAUAGAUGGAUCCGCGCUGCAUUAGCUAGUUGGUAAGGUAACGGCUUACCAAGGCAACGAUGCAUAGCCGACCUGAGAGGGUGAUCGGCCACACUGGAACUGAGACACGGUCCAGACUCCUACGGGAGGCAGCAGUAGGGAAUCUUCCGCAAUGGGCGAAAGCCUGACGGAGCAACGCCGCGUGAGUGAUGAAGGUCUUCGGAUCGUAAAACUCUGUUAUUAGGGAAGAACAUAUGUGUAAGUAACUGUGCACAUCUUGACGGUACCUAAUCAGAAAGCCACGGCUAACUACGUG
rnacentral:rRNA from 1 species